UACGUAGGGUGCAAGCGUUGUCCGGAAUUAUUGGGCGUAAAGAGCUCGUAGGCGGUCUGUCGCGUCUGCUGUGAAAACUCAGGGCUUAACCCUGAGCUUGCAGUGGGUACGGGCAGACUAGAGUGCGGUAGGGGAGACUGGAAUUCCUGGGUGUAGCGGUGAAAUGCGCAGAUAUCAGGAGGGAACACCCGGUGGCGAAAGGCGGG
rnacentral:rRNA from 1 species